CUGAAGGAGGGCACCAUUUUGAAUCAUCUGGGAGCAGAGAGCACUUGGAUAAAGACACCUGGAGAAGCUCAAGCCUGAGUCCACUGUCAAGUCCACAGCACGAGGUAGGACACUCGGAAACACAAGUCACAUCUGAAAGUCAGGCUUACAUCACCAAAGCCCUUAGAUAAACAGUCACCUCCACAGCCAGCAUUCCAGGCCAAUGAUGACAUGCUCCAGAGAAGGACCAAGAUGACAGAGGGAGACGGUGCCCCCUGCGUGAAGGACAGGCUCAUCCCUUCCCUGAGCUGGCCUGUGGACAGCAUUUUUAAUAGUGUAGUAGGAGCAAAUGAAAUGAUAGGCACAAAAGAC